UUUAGAGUUUGAUCCCUGGCUCAGGAUGAACGCUAGCGGCAGGCUUAAUACAUGCAAGUCGAGGGGCAGCACGGGUAGCAAUACCUGGUGGCGACCGGCGCACGGGUGCGUAACGCGUAUGCAACCUACCUUUAACUGGGGCAUAGCUCCGAGAAAUCGGGAUUAAUUCCCCAUAACAUUCACUUGAGGCAUCUCAUAUGAAUUAAAGUUUUAACGGUUAAAGAUGGGCAUGCGUGACAUUAGCUAGUUGGUGAGGUAACGGCUCACCAAGGCUACGAUGUCUAGGGGUUCUGAGAGGAUGAUCCCCCACACUGGUACUGAGACACGGACCAGACUCCUACGGGAGGCAGCAGUAGGGAAUAUUGGGCAAUGGACGAAAGUCUGACCCAGCCAUGCCGCGUGCAGGAUUGACGGCCCUAUGGGUUGUAAACUGCUUUUCUGCAGGAAGAACCCCCCGAUCGUGAUCGGGGCUGACGGUACUGCAGGAAUAAGCACC
rnacentral:rRNA from 1 species